CCAACCGGGAUUGCCCCAGUAACGGCGAGUGAAGCGGCAAGAGCUCAGAUUUGAAAUCUGGCCCCCCCGGGGGCCCGAGUUGUAAUCUGGAGAGGAUGCUUCGGCGUUGGCGCCGCCCCAGGUUCCCUGGAAAGGGACGCCGCAGAGGGUGAGAGCCCCGUACUCGGGCGGACGCCUCGGCCGUGUGAAGCUCCCUCGGCGAGUCGAGUUGCUUGGGAAUGCAGCUCAAAUUGGGAGGUAAAUUCCUUCUAAAGCUAAAUACCGGCCGGAGACCGAUAGCGCACAAGUAGAGUGAUCGAAAGAUGAAAAGCACUUUGGAAAGAGAGUGAAAAAGCACGUGAAAUUGUUGAAAGGGAAGCGCUUGCAGCCAGACGUGCGCGCCGUCGCUCGGCGGGGCCUCGCGCCCCGCCUACGCCCCGGCGUGCAGGCCAGCGUCAGCUCGGGCGGCCGUAGAAGCGUGCGGGAACGUAGCACCCUCCGGGGUGUGUUAUAGCCCGCGCCGGAUGCGGCCCGCCCGGGCCGAGGGUCCCGCGCUUUUCGCGAGGACGCUGGCGUAAUGGUGGUAAGCGGCCCGUCUUGAAACACGGACCAAGGAGUCUUACAUCCGCGCGAGUGUUCGGGCUUCGAACCCCGGGCGCGCAAUGAAAGUGAAUGGAGGUGGGAACCCCCCCGCGGGGUGCACCAUCGACCGAUCCAGAUGUCCUCGGACGGAUUUGAGUAUGAGCGCGGAUGCGGGGACCCGAAAGAUGGUGAACUAUGCCUAAGCAGGGCGAAGCCAGAGGAAACUCUGGUGGAGGCUCGCAGCGGUUCUGACGUGCAAAUCGAUCGUCAAAUUUGGGUAUAGGGGCGAAAGACCAAUCGA
rnacentral:rRNA from 1 species